CUUGCAAUAUAUAAUAAUCGUGUGCUAAUAAAAUACCUUUUUGUAAAGACUUUCCUCUACCUUAAUCUACAUAUAAGUAAUACAAUGUCGCAGUUUUAGUUUAACAGGAUAAAAGGCCUUCCCUUUAUAGCAAGCAUUUUAACAGUAGAAUUGUUUGUUUCCUUUUUGCAGUAUCCGGAAAGCACUGAAGUUGAGGAGAUCCCUUUGGGAAUAGUUCCUCACCAAAUUUAAGGGUUUUUGUCCCUAUAUAAUUUAUUAAUAUCCCGUGGGGAAGCUUUUAGUAACUGCGUUUAUGCUCUGAGAAGGUCCUGCAUGCCUUUUGGGAUAACAAGGAAGAAUUGUUAUUAAAGUGUUGCAACGACGCUCUUUACUUGAAGGAGAUUACCGAGUUGGCAUUUACGAAAGAAAAUAUU